GAGGUUCAGUCAUUCUUGAUUUUCCAUCUUCAGAGUCCCUUAUAAUCUGCUCCCCCAUUUCUUUGAACUAGCUCAAGUGAGUCUCAUGCCAUGUUCCCAGAGUCCUUGCUAGAACAAGGACCUUGGCCCUUCACUGAGUGAGCCUCCCCAGGCCUCUUCUGUCCCUUUCUCCCCACCCCAAUCCUGUCCCAGUGUAGGGAAGAGCAGGAGCCCUCAGCACAGUUGCACCUUUUAUUCACUGUCAGUGGGGAAAGAAACACACCACACAGCACAGGGUUGAGCAGUGAGGGCAGUCACUGAGUGCACAGCCAGAAGCAGCACAUCUGGAGGGGAUAGGGGGCUACACUGGAACUGGCCUCCUUCCCCUGCUACCCAGACCCCCCACUUCCCCAAGCCUCCUUUCUACUGCUGCUUAGAAGGCCCUGGGCCUGACUGGCCUCCACCAAGCAGGAAGGGCUAUACACCCUGGCAGGCCCAGUCCUGCCCCCACACUCUGGCAAAGGUAAAAAGAAAACCUCGAAAAUUCCAGAAAGAAAAUCCCAUAUUUUUCUGACUUUUUAAUUCCAAGGUUUGAAUUAUUUCUUUUUUCAAGAAUGAUGAAUAAAACAUGUAAGACAUUCUUGACCCCACAGUGAUCUCUAAAGUCAGCUCAAAGCCUCACCCAGGGUGGAUCUUCAGGAAAUAUUUGUUGCUUCAAUACAUUUUUGUGUAAAAAAUAUUUAGUGUCAGCUUACUACCCUGCCUGGAGACCCCAGCUUCUUCUCUUUCUUUUCUUUCCCCCAUCCCACGCCAUUCCUUCUCUCUCUGCAGCAAGGCAAAUUUCUACCUCUAGAGACUCUGCCAUUGUCAGGAAAGGAUUUAGUGCCUUUACUUAUGAACUAACUUUUUCUUCACUUUUGAUAUACAGGUAAGUUAAAUAAUCCUGACUACAGCUGAAAGGACUAAAGUGGCCAUCUGAAGUAGCCUUUGCUGAUAAUUUUUAGAGAUAAGAAAUAAGAUGCUCAUCAAUUAGCCCAAAAGGAUGAAUGAGGGUAGAGUAUGUGAGAAGGCAGAUUCUGGGACCUUGCAAUUCACAGAGUUGUUGCAAUAAGAUUGGAAUUUAAAGGAGAGUUUGAAUAUAUCAAUGUUUUGAUUGUCUGUAUAUUUUUGUGUCUGUGCAAGUCAUACAUAAAUCUCUGCCAGCCUUGUGCUUUGCGGCAAGUCUCUCUCAGCUGGUGCAGGGACGGGAGACCUGUGUCUCUUCUCAAGGCAGGGCCAGUGCUCUACCACAGUGCUCCUGAGCACACAGUCCCUGGGACACCCAGGAGUAUGCAGGAGCAUGUCCUGGGCCACCUGUUGUUCCUUCCAUCAGCAAGAUGGUGGUCCCAGUUCCUGGCCUGGCAUUGUGUGUUCACACUGCUGGGCUGUCUGAGAAUAUUGGGCCUGAGGAGCAAAAAUCACCCAUGGGUAUGUGUGUCCAGAAGCCUGGAGUAAUCAAACACGCCUUCAUGGGUAGGCAUGUUUCUCUUAGUGAAGAUGAUGGUGGGUAAAGACAAUGCAGGAUGCUUCGAGGGUUCUGAGUCAGAGGACUCCCAGGACAGCACUGAGCUGUUAGCACAGCUGCCAGAGGCAGAACACUGAGUGCUUGAAAAUGUGGGGACUUCAACCAAGCUCCUAUUUUUUUUGGAAGACCACAAUCUCAGAAGCUUUUUAGCAGGAAGCCUAUAAAGGAUGAAUAUCAAUGUAACUUGCCCUGCUGUCAACCUCUGCACAGCUUAGUCACAGAAAUGGACAGGGAAGAGACUCUGAAAAGAAGAAAUCCUCUUAGAGCCUUGGUUCAAGUCUUAGCCCUGUGUCACCUCCUGACUAUGUGAUCUUGCACAAGGGAUGCUUCCUCUCUGAAUCUCAGCUUCCAAGUCUAGAGAAAAGAAGUGAAAAUCCUCACCUCCAUGGGAUGUGAGUAUAGAAUGAGAUGGGGCACAUGGCAAGCCUUUGAAAGCCAUGAAAUUCUGUGUGGUUGCGAAUUAGGCUAGAUUCAGCAUUUGCAGGGAAGGAACCUCACUUAGUGAAAAGCUUUUCACCAGAAGAUUUAGGUCCCAGCUAAGCCAGGCUGGUGAGCAUCUAUGUGUCUGUGAUGCUGACUGACCGCACAAGACAUACCUAAUAGCCAGUUCCUGGGAGCAAUGCAACAUCCUUGAGGCAUUGCUGGAUAAACAACUGCUAGUUCCUGCCUGAGGAUGUGAACUCCCCAGCCUCACCAUAUGGCUGGUCAUGAGCAAGAGGAUAGCAAAAGGAUAGCAACCCAGUGGUUGCAAACCAGUGGUUGCUAUCCCCAGCAAGAGGAUAGCAACCCAGUGGCCUUGCUACCUCCAAGGGCCCAGUAGAGCUUGGGACCAAGCUCUAUUGAUCAGCAUCCCCCAGAGUUUUCACCUGCAGAGAAGCAGGACAGGUGGGCACUCAGGAGUGAGGAGCAUGCUGCAUCUCUUUCCUGCAGAUGCAAUUCCCCUGCCCCGGGCUCAGCAAUCAUUUCCUGCUCCCACCCUGGGCUGACAGCACCUGUGUACUAGACUGUUUUCACCGGCAGUUCAAGAGGAAAUCAACUGUCACUGCACGUCAAAGGUAAUUUCUGAUCACAAGUACAGGAGAAAGACCUGAUGAAGAAGCAAGAUUAAUUUUUCCGGCAGUCAAAGCAUGCAGCUGUAUAGCUCAUGGAUCCAAAAUUGGGAAGCAGGCAUUGGAAAGCAGAACCAGCACACUUGGAAGAUGUUGAACUACCUGGCAGAUCUAAGAUUUGGGGUUAGAAAAAGCCUCUCAAACAGAGCAUGCCUGGCACAUUUUUAGGCAUUUCGUCCAUAAAUUAUGUCUGGGUGCCUAAACAGUGGCCAGGUGAGCCUUUUCUUCUAGCUCUUUCUGAUUCUGUGGCAGUGAAGGAACAAGUCCAGUUCUGAAACUAAACCCAAUCCAGAAACGAACUACCAAGAUACGGAAUAUACACUAGUUUCACUCUUUGCAAACCUUGCUUUUUCCUGUCCCUGAAGUCAGCACCCAACCGGAGUAAGUAUGUAGCAGAAAGUUGCUUGUUGAAUUGAAAAAGGUAAUAAAAAGGAAGAGCUGAAGCAGCAAAAACUGCUGAGAGUGGCAGCUCAGGACUUAGUCUUAAAAAGUGUUAUCUGGUAAAUUUCAUGGUCUUUUCUCCCUUUCUUCUCAGGUUUUUUCCCCUUGAAAAUUAAUAUUUUCUCUAUUCAUUUAAUCAUUUUAUAAGAAACCAAGUAAUAUAGAGUAUAUUUUAACCUCCUGAAAUAAUAAAAUGACUGUAGCUCCUUUAAAGGGUACUAAAAAAAUAAGUAUGACAUAAAUUUCAUUUUUCUUAAAACUUUCACUCACGUGGCUCCUAAACUUCCAAAUGCUUUUCAUUUCGUCCUUCUGCAGCUUUGUGUGGAGCUGAGCUGGAAGAUGAAAUAGCUCCUCCCAGACUAACCAGCCUUCCAGCACCUUCUGCUUAGCUGAGACCCUGACGGCUGGAAGUUUGCCUCACAACCCUAUGAGCUUCCAGAGGGCACAAGAUGUGUCUUGUAAAUGACCAUAUCCUUAGCACCAAACAGGUGCUCAGUAAUCAUUAGCUGAAGAAAGGACUGAAUGAACGCUCCAAAGGCUGGGGCUGGAAGGGCCAGCAGCAACACAAUGGAUGGGUCACUCUUGGCUGCCUCCUUGAACUCCUCCAAUGUAAUCUGGUCGUCCUUAUCCUGGUCCAUCUUCUUGAAGAUCUUGUCCACACGCUGCUGGGGCGUGAGCCCGUCCUGGUUCAUGCGCAUCAUGAUCACGGUGCCCACC
rnacentral:lncRNA from 1 species